CCUACGGGAGGCAGCAGUGGGGAAUAUUGCGCAAUGGGCGAAAGCCUGACGCAGCGACGCCGCGUGAGGGAUGAAGGUCUUCGGAUCGUAAACCUCUGUCAGCAGGGAAGAACGGUCACUGUGCUAAUCAGCAGUGAAUUGACGGUACCUGCAAAGGAAGCACCGGCUAACUCCGUGCCAGCAGCCGCGGUAAUACGGAGGGUGCGAGCGUUAAUCGGAAUUACUGGGCGUAAAGCGCUCGUAGGCGGUAUGUCAAGUCAAGGGUGAAAUCCCCGGGCUGAACGUGGGAACUGCCUUUGAAACUGGCAAACUGGAGUGUGUGAGAGGAUAGUGGAAUUCGAGGUGUAGGAGUGAAAUGCGUAGAUAUCUGGAGGAACAUCAGUGGCGAAGGCGACUAUCUGGCACAUAACUGACGCUGAGGAGCGAAAGCGUGGGUAGCAAACAGGAUUAGAUACCCGGGUAGUC
rnacentral:rRNA from 1 species